rnacentral:rRNA from 1 species
CCUACGGGAGGCAGCAGUAGGGAAUCUUCCACAAUGGACGAAAGUCUGAUGGAGCAACGCCGCGUGAGGGAAGAAGGGCUUCGGCUCGUAAAGCUCUGUUGGUAGUGAAGAAAGAUAGAGGUAGUAACUGGCCUUUAUUUGACGGUAAUUACUUAGAAAGUUACGGCUAACUACGUGCCAGCAGCCGCGGUAAGACGUAGGUGGCAAGCGUUGUCCGGAUUUAUUGGGCGUAAGGCGGGUGCAGGCGGUUCAAUAAGUCUGAUGGGAAAGCCUUCGGCUCAACCGGAGAAUUGCAUCAGAAACUGUUGAGCUUGAGUGCGGAAGAGGAGAGUGGAACUCCAGGUGUAGCGGUGGAAUGCGUAGCUAUAUGGAAGAACACCAGUGGCGAAGGCGGCUCUCUGGUCUGCAACUGACGCUGAGGCUCGAAAGCAUGGGUAGCGAACAGGAUUAGAUACCCCUGUAGUC